AUGCAAGUCGAACGAUAGAUAAGGGCUUGCCCUUAUCGAAAGUGGCGCACGGGUGCGUAACGCGUAUGCAACCUACCUUAAUCAGGGGGAUAGCCCGGAGAAAUCCGGAUUAAUACCGCAUAAAAUCACAGGAUUGCAUAAUCCAAUGAUCAAACAUUUAUGGGAUUGAGAUGGGCAUGCGUGUCAUUAGCUAGUGGCGGGGUAACGGCCCACCAAGGCGACGAUGACUAGGGGAUCUGAGAGGAUGGCCCCCCACACUGGUACUGAGACACGGACCAGACUCCUACGGGAGGCAGCAGUAAGGAAUAUUGGUCAAUGGAGGCAACUCUGAACCAGCCAUGCCGCGUGCAGGAAGACUGCCCUAUGGGUUGUAAACUGCUUUUAUCCGGGAAUAAACCUUUCUACGUGUAGGAAGCUGAAUGUACCGGAAGAAUAAGGAUCGGCUAACUCCGUGCCAGCAGCCGCGGUAAUACGGAGGAUCCAAGCGUUAUCCGGAUUUAUUGGGUUUAAAGGGUGCGUAGGCGGCCUGUUAAGUCAGGGGUGAAAGACGGUAGCUCAACUAUCGCAGUGCCCUUGAUACUGAUGGGCUUGAAUGGACUAGAGGUAGGCGGAAUGAGACAAGUAGCGGUGAAAUGCAUAGAUAUGUCUCAGAACACCGAUUGCGAAGGCAGCUUACUAUGGUCUUAUUGACGCUGAGGCACGAAAGCGUGGGGAUCAAACAGGAUUAGAUACCCUGGUAGUCCACGCCCUAAACGAUGAACACUCGCUGUUGGCGAUACACAGUCAGCGGCUAAGCGAAAGCGUUAAGUGUUCCACCUGGGGAGUA
rnacentral:rRNA from 1 species